rnacentral:rRNA from 1 species
GAUGAACGCUGGCGGCGUGCCUAAUACAUGCAAGUCGAGCGAACGGACGAGAAGCUUGCCUCUCUGAUGUUAGCGGCGGACGGGUGAGUAACACGUGGAUAACCUACCUAUAAGACUGGGAUAACUUCGGGAAACCGGAGCUAAUACCGGAUAAUAUUUUGAACCGCAUGGUUCAAAAGUGAAAGACGGUCUUGCUGUCACUUAUAGAUGGAUCCGCGCUGCAUUAGCUAGUUGGUAAGGUAACGGCUUACCAAGGCAACGAUGCAUAGCCGACCUGAGAGGGUGAUCGGCCACACUGGAACUGAGACACGGUCCAGACUCCUACGGGAGGAAGCAGUAGGGAAUCUUCCGCAAUGGGCGAAAGCCUGACGGAGCAACGCCGCGUGAGUGAUGAAGGUCUUCGGAUCGUAAAACUCUGUUAUUAGGGAAGAACAUAUGUGUAAGUAACUGUGCACAUCUUGACGGUACCUAAUCAGAAAGCCACGGCUAACUACGUG